rnacentral:rRNA from 1 species
GAUUAACGCUGGCGGCGUGCAUAACACAUUCAAGUCGAACGGAAUGUAGCAAUACAUUUAGUGGCGGACGGGUGAGUAACGCGUGAGCAAUCUGCCCUCAGGUACGGAAUAACAACCGGAAACAGUUGCUAAUACCGUAUGAAAUAGCAAAACCGCAUGGUUUAACUAUCAAAGAGAAAUUGCCUGAGGAUGAGCUUGCGUCCGAUUAGAUAGUUGGCGGGGUAAAGGCCCACCAAGUCGACGAUCGGUAGCCGGACUGAGAGGUUGAACGGCCACAUUGGAACUGAGAUACGGUCCAGACUCCUACGGGAGGCAGCAGUGGGGAAUAUUGGGCAAUGGGCGAAAGCCUGACCCAGCGACGCCGCGUGAGGGAAGAAGAUCUUCGGAUUGUAAACCUUAGUCAAUAGGGAAGAAGAAAGUGACGGUACCUGUGGAGGAAGCCACGGCUAACUACGUG